GGAGAAUUGCUUGAACCCAGGAGGCAGCGGUUCAGAAUCAACAGCUCCUGCUGAUGGACUAGAUGAGGCAGGCUCACGUCUGUAAUGCCAGCACUUUGGGAGGCCAAGGUGGGCGGAUCACUUGAGAUCAGGAGUUCUAGACCAGCC